AUGCUUUGCUUUUUUAGCAUAUACGCUAAAACUGGAAUGAUACAGUGAAGAUUAGCAUGGCCACUGUGCAAGGAUGACAUACAAAUUCAUGAAGCAUUUCCUAUUUCU